UUAUGGCCAUAUCACGUUGAAACUCCGGUUCUUAUACGAUCACCGAAGUUAAGCAACGUCGAGCCCGGUCAGUACCAAGAUAGUGACAACUGGGAAAUACCAGUUGCUGUAAG